AUGAACGCUGGCGGCGUGCCUAAUACAUGCCAGUCGAGCGCACAGAUAAGGAGCUUGCUCCUUUGACGUUAGCGGCGGACGGGUGAGUAACACGUGGGUAACCUACCUAUAAGACUGGAAUAACUCCGGGAAGCCGGGGCUAAUGCCGGAUAACAUUUAGAACCGCAUGGUUCUAAAGUGAAAGAUGGUUUUGCUAUCACUUAUAGAUGGACCCGCGCCGUAUUAGCUAGUUGGUAAGGUAACGGCUUACCAAGGCAACGAUACGUAGCCGACCUGAGAGGGUGAUCGGCCACACUGGAACUGAGACACGGUCCAGACUCCUACGGGAGGCAGCAGUAGGGAAUCUUCCGCAAUGGGCGAAAGCCUGACGGAGCAACGCCGCGUGAGUGAUGAAGGUCUUCGGAUCGUAAAACUCUGUUAUUAGGGAAGAACAAAUGUGUAAGUAACUGUGCACGUCUUGACGGUACCUAAUCAGAAAGCCACGGCUAACUACGUG
rnacentral:rRNA from 1 species